AUUGAACGCUGGCGGCAUGCUUUACACAUGCAAGUCGAACGGUAACAGGCCGCAAGGUGCUGACGAGUGGCGAACGGGUGAGUAAUGUAUCGGAACGUGCCCAGUCGUGGGGGAUAACGCAGCGAAAGCUGCGCUAAUACCGCAUACGAUCUAGGGAUGAAAGCGGGGGACCGUAAGGCCUCGCGCGAUUGGAGCGGCCGAUAUUAGAUUAGGUAGUUGGUGGGGUAAAGGCUUACCAAGCCAACGAUCUGUAGCUGGUCUGAGAGGACGACCAGCCACACUGGGACUGAGACACGGCCCAGACUCCUACGGGAGGCAGCAGUGGGGAAUUUUGGACAAUGGGCGCAAGCCUGAUCCAGCAAUGCCGCGUGCAGGAAGAAGGCCUUCGGGUUGUAAACUGCUUUUGUACGGAACGAAACGGUCUGGGUUAAUACCUCGGGCUAAUGACGGUACCGUAAGAAUAAGCACCGGCUAACUACGUGCCAGCCGCCGCAGUAA
rnacentral:rRNA from 1 species